CUUCAGAGGAGGUUCUUCUGAGGCUGCUGCCAGUGGUCAAAGCCUCCAGCAAAGCUCUACUGAGCAGCUGUUCCCUCUCAGAUGAAGGAUGUUCAGCUCUGUCCUCAGCUCUCAGCUCUCCGUCCUCCAGACUGAAGGACCUGGACCUGAGAAUCCAGGUCUCAGCACUGAAGGAGCUGUGUGAUGGACUGGAAAACUGGAAACUGGAAACUCUCAGGCUGAGUGUGUCUGAUCUCUCGGAGAGGAACUGUGGACCUCUGUCCUCAGUCCUCAGCUCCCAGUCCCCCAGUCUGCCGCAACUGGACUUGAGUUACAGCGACCUGCAGGACUCAGGACUGAAGAAGCUGUGUGAGAGACUGAAGAGUCCAAACUGCAAACUGAAAACUCUCAGGCUGAGUGCGUGUGGUCUCUCAGAGACAAGCUGUGGACCUCUGUCCUCAGUCCUCAGC